rnacentral:rRNA from 1 species
GACGAACGCUGGCGGCGUGCUUAACACAUGCAAGUCGAACGGGUCUGCCUUGUUUUUUGCGGGGUGGGUCAGUGGCGAACGGGUGAGUAACACGUGAGUAACCUGCCCCUCACUUCUGGAUAACCGCUUGAAAGGGUGGCUAAUACGGGGUGUUCUGGCUGUGCCGCAUGGUGUGGCUGGGAAAGAUUCACUUUUGUGGUGUUUUGGUGGGGGAUGGGCUCGCGGCCUAUCAGCUUGUUGGUGGGGUGAUGGCCUGCCAAGGCUUUGACGGGUAGCCGGCCUGAGAGGGUGGGCGGUCACACUGGGACUGAGAUACGGCCCAGACUCCUGCGGGAGGCAGCAGUGGGGGGUAUUGCACAAUGGGCGGAAGCCUGGUGCAGCGACGUCGCGUGAGGGAUGGAGGCCUU